GAUGAACGCUAGUGGCAGGCCUAAUACAUGCAAGUCGAACGGGAUCUGAGGGUAGCUUGCUACCCGAUUUGAGAGUGGCGCACGGGUGCGUAACGCGUGAGCAACCUACCCAUAUCAGGGGGAUAGCCCGGAGAAAUUCGGAUUAACACCGCAUAAGAAUGUAUUAACACAUGUUAAAGCAUUUAAAUAUUUAUAGGAUAUGGAUGGGCUCGCGUGACAUUAGAUAGUUGGUGAGGUAACGGCUCCCCAAGGCGACGAUGUCUAGGGGCUCUGAGAGGAGAAUCCCCCACACUGGUACUGAAACACGGACCAGACUCCUACGGGAGGCAGCAGUAAGGAAUAUUGGUCAAUGGGCGGAAGCCUGAACCAGCCAUGCCGCGUGCAGGACGACUGCCCUAUGGGUUGUAAACUGCUUUUGUCGAGGAAUAAACCUAUCUACGUGUAGAUAGUUGAACGUACUCGAAGAAUAAGGAUCGGCUAACUCCGUGCCAGCAGCCGCAGUAA
rnacentral:rRNA from 1 species